CAGUCGCCACGGUAAUACGUAUGUCACAAGCGUUAUCCGGAUUUAUUGGGCGUAAAGCGCGUCUAGGUGGUUAUGUAAGUCUGAUGUGAAAAUGCAGGGCUCAACUCUGUAUUGCGUUGGAAACUGUGUAACUAGAGUACUGGAGAGGUAAGCGGAACUACAAGUGUAGAGGUGAAAUUCGUAGAUAUUUGUAGGAAUGCCGAUGGGGAAGCCAGCUUACUGGACAGAUACUGACGCUGAAGCGCGAAAGCGUGGGUAGCAAACAGGAUUAGAUACCCCAGUAGUCCCUGUCUCUUAUACA
rnacentral:rRNA from 1 species